GAUGAACGCUGGCGGUAUGCUUAACACAUGCAAGUCGAACGGACUCUUCGGAGUUAGUGGCGGACGGGUGAGUAACGCGUGAGAAUCUGGCUUUGGGUUCGGGACAACCACUGGAAACGGUGGCUAAUACCGGAUGUGCCGAGAGGUAAAAGAGAAAUUGCCUGAAGAUGAGCUCGCGUCUGAUUAGCUAGUUGGUGAGGUAAAGGCUCACCAAGGCAGCGAUCAGUAGCUGGUCUGAGAGGAUGACCAGCCACACUGGGACUGAGACACGGCCCAGACUCCUACGGGAGGCAGCAGUGGGGAAUUUUCCGCAAUGGGCGAAAGCCUGACGGAGCAAUACCGCGUGAGGGAAGAAGGCUCUUGGGUCGUAAACCUCUUUUCUUAGGGAAGAACAAAAUGACGGUACCUAAGGAAUCAGCAUCGGCUAACUCCGUG
rnacentral:rRNA from 1 species